rnacentral:rRNA from 1 species
UACGAAGGUGACAAGCGUUGUUCGGAAUCAUUGGGCGUAAAGCGCACGUAGGCGGGUUUGUAAGUCGAUUGUAAAAACCCUGGGCUUAACCCGGGACCUGCAGUUGAAACUACAAGUCUUGAAUGCUCGAGAGGAUGGUGGAAUUCCAGGAGUAGAAGUGAAAUUCGUAGAUAUCUGGAGGAACACCGGAGGCGAAAGCGGCCAUCUGGCGAGACAUUGACGCUAAGGUGCGAAAGCGUGGGGAUCAAACAGG